GACGUAGGGGGCGAGCGUUAUUCGGAAUUAUUGGGCGUAAAGCGCGCGUAGGCGGGUUGGUAAGUCUGCUGUGAAAGCCCGGAGCUUAACUCCGGAGGGUCGGUGGAUACUGCCAGUCUUGAAGAUGCUAGGGGGAGAUGGAAUUACCGGUGUAGCGGUGAAAUGCGUAGAGAUCGGUAGGAACACCAGUGGCGAAGGCGGUCUCCUGGGGCAUUCUUGACGCUGAGGCGCGAAAGCUGGGGGAGCGAACGGG
rnacentral:rRNA from 1 species